UACGGAGGGUGCAAGCGUUAUCCGGAUUCACUGGGUUUAAAGGGUGCGUAGGGGGGCAGGUAAGUCAGUGGUGAAAUCUUCGAGCUUAACUCGGAAACUGCCGUUGAUACUAUCUGUCUUGAAUCCCGUGGAGAUGAGCGGAAUAUGUCAUGUAGCGGUGAAAUGCUUAGAUAUGACAUAGAACACCAAUUGCGAAGGCAGCUCGUUACACGAAGAUUGACUCUGAGGCACGAAAGCGUGGGGAUCAAACAGG
rnacentral:rRNA from 1 species